AAUCCAUAGGUUAAUGAGGCGAACCGGGGGAACUGAAACAUCUAAGUACCCCGAGGAAAAGAAAUCAACCGAGAUUCCCCCAGUAGCGGCGAGCGAACGGGGAGGAGCCCAGAGCCUGAAUCAGCAUGUGUGUUAGUGGAAGCGUCUGGAAAGGCGCGCGAUACAGGGUGACAGCCCCGUACACAAAAGCGCAUGUGCUGUGAGCUCGAUGAGUAGGGCGGGACACGUGGUAUCCUGUCUGAAUAUGGGGGGACCAUCCUCCAAGGCUAAAUACUCCUGACUGACCGAUAGUGAACCAGUACCGUGAGGGAAAGGCGAAAAGAACCCCGGCGAGGGGAGUGAAAAAGAACCUGAAACCGUGUACGUACAAGCAGUGGGAGCACCCUUUGGGUGUGACUGCGUACCUUUUGUAUAAUGGGUCAGCGACUUAUAUUCUGUAGCAAGGUUAACCGAAUAGGGGAGCCGGAGGGAAACCGAGUCUUAACCGGGCGUUAAGUUGCAGGGUAUAGACCCGAAACCCGGUGAUCUAGCCAUGGGCAGGUUGAAGGUUGGGUAACACUAACUGGAGGACCGAACCGACUAAUGUUGAAAAAUUAGCGGAUGACCUGUGGCUGGGGGUGAAAGGCCAAUCAAACCGGGAGAUAGCUGGUUCUCCCCGAAAGCUAUUUAGGUAGCGCCUCGUGAAUUCAUCUCCGGGGGUAGAGCACUGUUUCGGCUAGGGGGCCAUCCCGGCUUACCAACCCGAUGCAAACUGCGAAUACCGGAGAAUGUUAUCACGGGAGACACACGGCGGGUGCUAACGUCCGUCGUGAAGAGGGAAACAACCCAGACCGCCAGCUAAGGUCCCAAAGUCAUGGUUAAGUGGGAAACGAUGUGGGAAGGCCCAGACAGCCAGGAUGUUGGCUUAGAAGCAGCCAUCAUUUAAAGAAAGCGUAAUAGCUCACUGGUCGAGUCGGCCUGCGCGGAAGAUGUAACGGGGCUAAACCAUGCACCGAAGCUGCGGCAGCGACACUGUGUGUUGUUGGGUAGGGGAGCGUUCUGUAAGCCUGUGAAGGUGUGUCGUGAGGCAUGCUGGAGGUAUCAGAAGUGCGAAUGCUGACAUAAGUAACGAUAAAGCGGGUGAAAAGCCCGCUCGCCGGAAGACCAAGGGUUCCUGUCCAACGUUAAUCGGGGCAGGGUGAGUCGACCCCUAAGGCGAGGCCGAAAGGCGUAGUCGAUGGGAAACGGGUUAAUAUUCCCGUACUUGGUGUUACUGCGAAGGGGGGACGGAGAAGGCUAUGUUGGCCGGGCGACGGUUGUCCCGGUUUAAGCGUGUAGGUGUGUGUUCCAGGUAAAUCCGGUUCACUUUAACACUGAGGCGUGACGACGAGGCACUACGGUGCUGAAGCAACAAAUGCCCUGCUUCCAGGAAAAGCCUCUAAGCAUCAGGUAACAUCAAAUCGUACCCCAAACCGACACAGGUGGUCAGGUAGAGAAUACCAAGGCGCUUGAGAGAACUCGGGUGAAGGAACUAGGCAAAAUGGUGCCGUAACUUCGGGAGAAGGCACGCUGACACGUAGGUGAAGUGAUUUACUCAUGGAGCUGAAGUCAGUCGAAGAUACCAGCUGGCUGCAACUGUUUAUUAAAAACACAGCACUGUGCAAACACGAAAGUGGACGUAUACGGUGUGACGCCUGCCCGGUGCCGGAAGGUUAAUUGAUGGGGUCAGCGCAAGCGAAGCUCCUGAUCGAAGCCCCGGUAAACGGCGGCCGUAACUAUAACGGUCCUAAGGUAGCGAAAUUCCUUGUCGGGUAAGUUCCGACCUGCACGAAUGGCGUAAUGAUGGCCAGGCUGUCUCCACCCGAGACUCAGUGAAAUUGAACUCGCUGUGAAGAUGCAGUGUACCCGCGGCAAGACGGAAAGACCCCGUGAACCUUUACUAUAGCUUGACACUGAACAUUGAGCCUUGAUGUGUAGGAUAGGUGGGAGGCUUUGAAGUGUGGACGCCAGUCUGCAUGGAGCCGACCUUGAAAUACCACCCUUUAAUGUUUGAUGUUCUAACGUGGACCCGUUACCCGGGUUGCGGACAGUGUCUGGUGGGUAGUUUGACUGGGGCGGUCUCCUCCUAAAGAGUAACGGAGGAGCACGAAGGUUGGCUAAUCCUGGUCGGACAUCAGGAGGUUAGUGCAAUGGCAUAAGCCAGCUUGACUGCGAGCGUGACGGCGCGAGCAGGUGCGAAAGCAGGUCAUAGUGAUCCGGUGGUUCUGAAUGGAAGGGCCAUCGCUCAACGGAUAAAAGGUACUCCGGGGAUAACAGGCUGAUACCGCCCAAGAGUUCAUAUCGACGGCGGUGUUUGGCACCUCGAUGUCGGCUCAUCACAUCCUGGGGCUGAAGUAGGUCCCAAGGGUAUGGCUGUUCGCCAUUUAAAGUGGUACGCGAGCUGGGUUUAGAACGUCGUGAGACAGUUCGGUCCCUAUCUGCCGUGGGCGCUGGAGAACUGAGGGGGGCUGCUCCUAGUACGAGAGGACCGGAGUGGACGCAUCACUGGUGUUCGGGUUGUCAUGCCAAUGGCACUGCCCGGUAGCUAAAUGCGGAAGAGAUAAGUGCUGAAAGCAUCUAAGCACGAAACUUGCCCCGAGAUGAGUUCUCCCUGAGACUUAAAGUCUCCUGAAGGAACGUUGAAGACGACGACGUUGAUAGGCCGGGUGUGUAAGCGCAGCGAUG
rnacentral:rRNA from 1 species